rnacentral:rRNA from 1 species
CCCCUAGUAACUGCGAGUGAAGCGGGAAAAGCUCAAAUUUAAAAUCUGGCGGUCUUUGGCCGUCCGAGUUGUAGUCUGGAGAAGUGCUUUCCGCGCUGGACCGUGUAUAAGUCCCUUGGAACAGGGCGUCGUAGAGGGUGAGAAUCCCGUCUUUGACACGGACUACCAGUGCUUUGUGAUGCGCUCUCAAAGAGUCGAGUUGUUUGGGAAUGCAGCUCAAAAUGGGUGGUGAAUUCCAUCUAAAGCUAAAUAUUGGCGAGAGACCGAUAGCGAACAAGUACCGUGAGGGAAAGAUGAAAAGCACUUUGGAAAGAGAGUUAAACAGUACGUGAAAUUGCUGAAAGGGAAACGCUUGAAGUCAGUCGCGUCGGCCGGAACUCAGCCUUGCUUUCGCUUGGUGCACUUUCCGGUUGACGGGCCAGCAUCGAUUUUGACCGUCGGAUAAGGGCUAGAGUAAUGUGGCACCUCCGGGUGUGUUAUAGACUCUAGUCGCACACGGCGGUUGGGAUCGAGGAACGCAGCGCGCCGCAAGGCAGGGGUUCGCCCACUUUCGCGCUUAGGAUGCUGGCAUAAUGGCUUUAAACGACCCGUCUUGAAACACGGACCAAGGAGUCUAACAUGCCUGCGAGUGUUUGGGUGGAAAACCCGAGCGCGUAAUGAAAGUGAAAGUUGAGACCUCUGUCGUGGAGGGCAUCGACGCCCGGACCUGACGUUCUCUGACGGAUCCGCGGUAGAGCAUGUAUGUUGGGACCCGAAAGAUGGUGAACUAUGCCUGAAUAGGGUGAAGCCAGAGGAAACUCUGGUGGAGGCUCGUAGCGAUUCUGACGUGCAAAUCGAUCGUCAAAUUUGGGUAUAGGGGCGAAAGACUAAUCGAAC